rnacentral:rRNA from 1 species
UGGGGAAUAUUGGACAAUGGGCGCAAGCCUGAUCCAGCCAUGCCGCGUGAGUGACGAAGGUCUUCGGAUUGUAAAGCUCUUUUGCCAGGGACGAUAAUGACGGUACCUGGAGAAUAAGCCCCGGCUAACUUCGUGCCAGCAGCCGCGGUAAUACGAAGGGGGCUAGCGUUGUUCGGAAUUACUGGGCGUAAAGCGCACGUAGGCGGAUUUGUAAGUCAGGGGUGAAAUCCCGGGGCUCAACCUCGGAACUGCCUUUGAUACUGCAAGUCUCGAGUCCGGAAGAGGUGAGUGGAAUUCCUAGUGUAGAGGUGAAAUUCGUAGAUAUUAGGAAGAACACCAGUGGCGAAGGCGGCUCACUGGUCCGGUACUGACGCUGAGGUGCGAAAGCGUGGGGAGCAAACAGG